GGCGGCGCGGGCCGCUCCAGCCGGGUGCCAGCAGCAGGGCUGCUGCGGCUGAAUGACGCAAGGGGCCGGCGGGAGGGGGGCUGUUUGGAGAGCGCGGGAUUAGCGAGCCCUGACCUCGGGAUCAGCGGCCAGUCAAACCCAUUUACACUCACCCAGCGGAACACUGACGGCUCCCGCUGCAGCAAGCGGCCGGCCGGGCAACAGGAAGGAGAGACCCAGAUCAGCCCUGGAAAAGUGCAACUCCAGUGGGGAAGAAGGAAGGCGGUCACAGCUGGUGGUCACAGGGGUAUAUGGUGGUCCGUGGUUGAACUGCACCCCGAGGGGACCAGAAGAAUGUAGGUCCCACAUCAAGGGAGCCCCGCAUAACCCAGAGAACAAGAGUGAAAUGAGCUCUGAAAAAAGGAAAAACGAAUCUCACAGGAGGAAUAGGGAUGACUUUUGUGAUCACCAUGUGGUUAGCUGAGGAAACGCCUCUCUCAUACGCCUUCAUGUCAGGAACUGCACCUAGGAGUACACGUUUAUGUAGCCAAUGUUUUUCCCCUCGUUUUCUCAGUUAUCUUUCAGGAACUAAUGCACAUGUAUAUUGACUAUAUUACAUUAUUAAAUGGUGGAAUGCUCACACAUUUUAAUGCAGACCAGAGUAUGUUUAGUAUUCACAUGCGAAUAGGGAAGAAGUAUCAUCUUGAUAAAACAACUAAUCUUCAGUGAAACCUAAUCGUAUUUUUUGCAGUAGCAUAUACAUUUCAACUGACCUUUUCUGUUCUAUACCUUAACUCUUUUACUGUAAAGGAGGUGAUGUUUUCAUGAACAAUACGAGUUCCAGGAAAGGGUUCAGACAGGUCUUAAUACUGAAGUUAUCUAGGAUUAAGGAAUUGCUAUUAAAAGUCAUUAGCCUGUUGAAUUUACGUAUCGUCGUUUUCAGACUAAAGUGACUGUGGCUCUAAGAAAAAAAUAGAUGGGAUUACCGGAAAGGAAAAAAAACCCAAAAGCAAAUGAGAUCAUUACAUUAUAACAGUUGUGUCCUUUGAUCUUCUGGCUGCAAGCUUUUCAAUUAGGCAAAGAGAAACCCGUUUCCAAUCUUUAGUACACACAAUACAAAUUAUGGUUUAAAAGGCAACCAGAGAAAAAGUCAACAUAAAAGCCCAGUCCCAUGAAAAUAACCAAAUGCGGAAAGGGAGCACACAGCCCUCCACUCCUCUAGCCCAUGCCCAUGUCACUGAUCAUGUUUAAGUGGAAAUUGUAUAUGUUUUAAAUUCUGCACCGUUUCUCUCAAAUAGAUUCCCGGGAGGAUAUUUCCCCAAGUCCUUUUUCUCCACAGUAAAACUGACCACUGAAAAUAUAAGACGUGCAAUAUCCGCACCCAGUUUACUUCCGGAAGAUGCCCUGGGUAUACCUCAGCUCCCGCUGGCCUUAGCUAACCCGAAAUGCAGACAACCACAGACAGCCAAUGCUGUUUACCGGGGAGGCUCAGAGUCCGGGUUCCAGCUCCAGCAGGGAUAACUUAGAUAUUUUUUUCACAUCUUAGUUCUACACGGCUGUUUUUAGCCCGAUAGCUCAAGCCAGAGUCAGCUGACCCGGGCCAGCCGCGGGUGUUUAAUUGCUGUGUAGAAAGACGUACCCAAGUCCAGCCGCGGGGGUUGUUUUGCAGUGUAGGCAUACUCAUUAGCCAACAGAUAAAGCGAUGUUUCCAUGGGACCAUCAUAGGUGCAUGGGCCAAAUACUCUGCUGGCAAACCAGCGCAGCUCUAACUGGAGCUCUGCCACUUGACCCUAGCAGAGAAUUUGGCUUCCUAGUCAACAAGUACGUUGGGCAGAGGGGA